rnacentral:rRNA from 1 species
GGAGUUCAAUCCUGGCUCAGGAUGAACACUGGCGGCAUGCUUAACACAUGCAAGUAAGACGGGAAGUGGUGUUUCUAGUGGUGGACGAGUGAGUAAUUUGUAAGAACCUGCCCUUGGAAGGGGAACAACAGCUAGAAAUGGCUGCUAAUACCUCAUAGGUUGAGGAGCAAAAGGAGGAAUUCGCCCAAGGAGGGGCUCACAUCUGAUUAGCUAGCUGGUGAGGCAAUAGCUUACCAAGGCGAUGAUCAAAAGCUGGUCCGAAAGGAUGAUUAGCCACACUUGGACUGAGACACAGCCCAAACUCCUACGGGAGGCAGCAGUGGGGAAUUUUUCGCAAUGGGUGAAAUCCUGAUGGAGCAAUGUUGCAUGGAGGUAAAAGGCCUACGGAUCAUGAACUUCUUUCCUGGAGAAGAAACAAUGACGGUAUCUACGGAAUAAGUAUUGGCUAACUCUGUGCUAGCAGCCGUGGUGACACAGAGGAUGCAAGCGUUAUCCAGAAUGAUUGGCCAUAUAGCAUUUGUAGGUGGCUUUUUAGGGCCAUCGUCACUCUCAGGGCUUAACUCUGGAUAGGCGAUAGAAACUACCAAGCUGGAGUACGGUAGAAAGCAGAGGGAAUUUUCGGUUGAGCGAUGAAAUGUGUAGAGAUCAGAAAGAACACCAAUAGCUAAAGGACUCUGCUAGGCCAACACUGACACUGAGAGAUGAAAGCUAGGGGAGCAAAUCGGAUUAGAUACCCUAGUAGUCCUAGUCGUAAACAACGGAUAUUAGGUGCUAUGCGUAUCAACCCGUGUAAUGCUGUAGCUAAGGCGUUAAGUAUCCAGCCUGGGGAGUACGUUUGGAAGAAUGAAACUCAAAGGAAUUGAUAGGGCCCGCACAAGCAGUGGAGCAUGUACUUUAAUUCAACCCAAAGCGAAGAACCUUACCAGGGCUUGACAUGCUGCGAAUCCUCUUGAAAGAGAGGGGUGCCUUCGGGAAUGUGGACAUAGGUGGUGCGUGGCUGCCAUCAGCUCAUUCAGUAAGAUGUUGGGUUAAGUCCCGCAACAAGUCCAACCCUUGUGUUUAGUUGCCACCAUUGAGUUUAAAACCCUGAGCGGACCACCGGUGAUAAGCCGAAGGAAGGUGAGGAUGACGUCAAGUCAUCAUGCCCCUUAUGCCCUGGGCGGCACACGUGCUACAAUGGCCAGGACAAAAGGUCACGAUCCCGCAAAGGUGAGCUAACUUCAAUGUUAUUUGUAACAAGUAGCUUUGUUGGUUGGUUAAUUGGUCACAUUUUAUUCAUGAAAUGGGUUGGAUUGGUAUUAGUCUAGAUACAGCAAAAUAAUUUUAGUACAUUAGAUCUAAUAAGUUCUUUGUGUCAGAAUUGAGAAAUUCUAUGGCUUAAAUCUUUAGUAUUCUCUUAUUUGUUACCUGUGU